UAUCAUGCAGUCGAGCGGACGACGGGAGCUUGCUCCCUUAGGUCAGCGGCGGACGGGUGAGUAACACGUGGGUAACCUGCCUGUAAGACUGGGAUAACUCCGGGAAACCGGGGCUAAUACCGGAUGCUUGAUUGAACCGCAUGGUUCAAUCAUAAAAGGUGGCUUUUAGCUACCACUUACAGAUGGACCCGCGGCGCAUUAGCUAGUUGGUGAGGUAACGGCUCACCAAGGCGACGAUGCGUAGCCCACCUGAGAGGGUGAUCGGCCACACUGGGACUGAAACACGGCCCAAACCCCUACGGGAGGCAGCAGUAGGGAAUCUUCCGCAAUGGACGAAAGUCUGACGGAACACCGCCCCGUGAGUGAUGAAGGUUUUCGGAUCGUAAAACUCUUUUGUUAGGGAAGAACAAGUACCGUUCGAAUAGGGCGGUACCUUGACGGUACCUAACCAGAAAGCCACGGCUAACUACGUGCCAGGCAGCCACGA
rnacentral:rRNA from 1 species